rnacentral:lncRNA from 1 species
GAAGAAGUUUAGCUUUUAUAUACAGAACAACUAGAGACAGAGCAUUGGGAAGAGGGACUCAUUGAAGAGUUUUAAAUAGGGAAGCAACAGAAUGAGGUUUGAAUUCACAAAGACCAUUCACUUUUCCUUUAGGAAGCUAUUUAGCAGUAAGAGAAAAGCAUAGAAAUGUAGGUGGCAGAAGGGCUGGACAGAACGCAGAGUGAGUGUGCACCCAUUUCUCCCAGAGCAGGACCUUGAUCUGCAGAAUGACCAUGCUCCUGAGAGGCAAUGGAUGGUCUCUAGGGGCCCUUCCACUCUGAGGCCUACAUUUCAUGAUUGCUGACAGACUGCAAGAUACAAGAAAAGCCACAGCUGUGUCAAGUCUGCAGUUUGCAAUUUCCUGUGGCUGCUUCUACUUUUUGACUCUCACUGAAUUAUACUCUACUCUCAACAUCUCACUGCUUAAAUGGAAGGAGAACCCCUUCUGGCCAGGGGCAGAUGAUUUGCUGGAUACCUCUUCUGUUUCAGGUUAAAAGCGAUGGCCACAGAGAAGGAAAGAAGUGGAAGGUGGAUACCUGACUAUCUGAAUUGAAAUCUUCUAAAUGAACACUCCUCACAGCUCCUUGGGAUUAGAAAAGCAUGCUCUUGGUUCUUCUAUUCUUAUGUUCCAUUUUAUUGAAGAAUGAAUUUUAAGGACACAAAGAGGAAGACCCAGAAAUUUUGACUUUAAAAGUUUGAUUCUUGCUUUGAAACUCAUCCCAGUUGAUCUUCAACUUUCGAAAUCUUGAUUUUCUUAAAAUCUCUACUUCCUCAUAUUCCCUUUCUCAUGCCAUGCAUCGAUGCCCAUAAAAUGCCUUUUCUUAAACCAAAUUUGGAGUCAUAGCCAAGGAUGGAUGAUUCUGAAUUACAGACAGGAGGAGUUGUUGGAAGAGUUACUGCAGCUGGGAAAAGGCCUGGGCAUCCAGUCAGGGGGCCCUGGUCUCUGCACACAAGGGUUUUAUCUAGGCUGAGCUGGGGGAAAGUGAGGUCUCUCCACACCCACCUCUCUCCGUCUCCACGUGUCAAGGCAGCUAUAAUAGUGCCUGGGCUUGGAGCAUCUGGCUCUUAGGCCUGAUGUCUAAGAUACUACUUAAGUUCUCCAGUGAUUUCUUUUUCUAUUGUUGAUUUUCUCAUAUAUAAACUGGAGAAUAAUAAUAUCUGAUUCAUAUGAAGAAGCUUUGUAACAUAUUAAAUAUCAAAUAGAUGUCAGUUAUAAUUAUCAAGAGGGACAACUUAGAAACCACUAACAAAGAUGAUUUUCUUCUUGGAAGCAGAAUGUUUGCAGAAUGAGAUCUCUCCAGUAACUCUCCACUUUUCCAUCUGCUGAUAAAGGACUUCAGUGUAGUGUACCCGAAUUUCACAUUAAUUGUUGCUUUAGCAAGGGAUGUAAUUACUCUGAGUACUUUUUAGCUACAAAUCUUGAAAUUCAUGCCAUUUGGUGAACGUAUGCCUUGCUGCCUCUCCAACUAUUAAUUCUUGUACAGUCUCGCCUUUAGGACCAAAAGACAAAUAGUAAAGUAAAGCUCAUGCUUGGCUAUUUAGAGCAGAGCAGCCUCCCUUAGGCUUCGGCAGACAAGGUACAACCACUGAUGUUAUCCUGCCGGGUAGGCAAGAAGUAAGAAAAGCGAGUCGCAGAGCAGAAGCGCCAAAUCCUCAGAGUCGAGGAGAAUCUAGGUCAAAGAUCUCCUGCCAACCUUAUUCACAGUUCUCAUUUCAGGGUUCCUUCCCUCUAAACCUCCAUGCGGGCCCUCCGUAAAGGAGAAAGCGAGUUUUCUCGGUGGGGUGAGAAGAUCUCUAUUUGUGUGAAACUAAAAGAACCUAUUUCCACAAUGUUAUGGCUAAAACAUACACUCAGUUUUUCCCAUUAAUUAGGCUUUAUGGAUGUUAUAUAUUAGAGAUUUGACAUAAUAAAGGCAAGAGAAUUCCAAGACAUUAUUUCCAUUGGAUGGCUUCACCUAGGCAAGACCCAUGACCUAAAAGUUUGAUGAAUAGAAUGAACCAUUAUUCAAGGUUGGGUUUUCAAACUAAAACCAUAUUUUGGCCUUUGCUGUGCCCCACAUGCCUGGCAGUGACUCCAGGCACACGUUUCAUCUUCAUUUGGUUGCCUGGAAGAAUGCAAUGGGCUAGUUGCUCUAAUGUCGGGAAAAAAAGGUUUUAUCACCAUGCACAGCUUUCUAUGCAUUGUCCCAUAGAAAAACUAUCCUCAAUUACAAGCUACAGUUUUAAUAAAGCACUAUCAAAAAGACGGCACAGAGUUUCGGUUGCCACGGCUCCAGCCCUGACUGGUUCUAAUUUCCUGUCUGCUCAAAAUAAGAUUUUAUUAAUCUGUUAUUUUAGAUACUUGGAUUGUCAUAAUUCUUGCCAUUAUAGUGCCAAAAAAUAAGAAGAUAUGAAAAUAGUACAUCUGAUAAUUACAAAUGUAUAAAAAUAUAUAUGCAAAAGGGCCAGUAUAUGUUAGCCUAUGUAAGUAUUAUCAAACAGCUACUAGAAGUGAAUAUAUCCAAAUGUUAACAAGACUUAUGUCAGGAUUGUGAUAUUAUGAUUAAUUUGAGUUUUUCUCUUUAUAAUUUUAAAAUUAUCUAAACAGAAUAUUAUAAAAAUGGAUAGCUCUUAGAAAAUAACAGGAAACAUACUUUAUAAAACAUGGGGUUCCAGACUUUUCUUUAGUAUUUUCAGGUAUGAACCUAGGAGAGAUUGGAGAGCCCAAAGUGUGGACAAGUUGCUGAUAAAAAUAAGGCACCUAGAUUUUCAGUCUGAUAUGCAUAAAAACACUUUCCUACUGUACAAGCUGUUUCUGUCUAGUGGGCUUGACAGAUGCCUGAACGUGACACAAGACACUGAAAUAACAUGCAAAUCAGUUUUCGGUUUUAAUAUGCAAAUAUGACGCUUGGCACAUCACUUUCCAUGGCGAGGUAAAUUUCUGUUUUUGAGUUUUUCGUGGGAAAUGCAAACCAGCAAACAAAUGGUUAACUCCCCAUCUUUCACCUAACACAAGGUGGUUUUCAUUUGAGUCAGAGCGGUUCUGGCUCAGCAAUCCAAGACACUUAGGAUGCAAAGAAAGGGCAUGUGUUUUGUUCAAUAACAAUGCCACCCUAGGCAAGCAAUCCUACCUUCUGACAGACACACCGAUCACACUGAAUUUUUGGGCCUCAGCAGGGAGGCAGACAAAGUGCCUAAGUGAAAAUAACAAGAACAUGUUUUUUUGCUUGACCAGUGAAAAUCAAAUCAAAGUAUCUCAACAUGGUAAGAAGAUAAGCUUAUAGCCAAAGAAGAGAAAAAAGUCAAGGGUCCUUGUUUCUAGAGUACACGAGCAGUGUAGCAAACUAUAGCCUCCUAUGAAAUCUAUAUUAAAUUAUCCACAAAUAAUAGUAAUUAAUUAGGCAUUAAAGCAGUCAUCAAAAUGAGUGAGAUGCAACCAGUUCAUAGAAUUUAUAAUCCAGUCAGGAAAUCAAGGUAUAUGAAGGAGAAAUAAAAGAACAAAGCAAAAAAUUGAACGUUGAUAGUAAUCAGUAUGCCUUAGAUAUAUAGGUUCUAGGGUCUGCUUACUUGGGUUCAAAUCCCACAUCCACAGCUUACCAAUUGUAUGAUCCAGUGCAGGAUGCUGAAUUUUACUACCUAUUAGUUAUUUCAAAA